GAAACUUAAAGGAAUUGACGGGGGCCCGCACAAGCGGUGGAGCAUGUGGUUAAUUCGACGCAACGCGAAGAACCUUACCAGGGCUUGACAUCCCCUGACCGCGUAUGAAAGUACGUUUUCACCCUCGGGUGACAGGGAGACAGGUGGUGCAUGGUUGUCGUCAGCUCGUGUCGUGAGAUGUUGGGUUAAGUCCCGCAACGAGCGCAACCCCUACGUUUAGUUGCUAACGCGUGAAGGCGAGCACUCUAGACGAACUGCCGUUGACAAAACGGAGGAAGGUGGGAUGACGUCAAAUCAUCAUGCCCCUUAUGUUCUGGGCUACACACGUGCUACAAUGGCCGGUACAGACGGACGCAAAGCCGCGAGGUGGAGCAAAUCCUAAAAAGCCGGUCUCAGUUCGGAUUGCAGGCUGCAAUUCGCCUGCAUGAAGUCGGAAUCGCUAGUAAUCGCAGGUCAGCAUACUGCGGUGAAUACGUUCCCGGGCCUU
rnacentral:rRNA from 1 species